rnacentral:rRNA from 1 species
UACGUAGGGUGCGAGCGUUGUCCGGAAUUAUUGGGCGUAAAGAGCUCGUAGGCGGCUUGUCGCGUCGGAUGUGAAAGCCCGGGGCUUAACUCCGGGUCUGCAUUCGAUACGGGCAGGCUAGAGUUCGGUAGGGGAGAUCGGAAUUCCUGGUGUAGCGGUGAAAUGCGCAGAUAUCAGGAGGAACACCGGUGGCGAAGGCGGCUAUCUGGACGACAACUGACGCUGAGGCGCGAAAGCACGGGGAUCAAACAGG